CUGCAUUAUAUAUCUCUCCCCACAACUGCAUCUUUUAUCAGCGGCGUUUCAUAAUUUCAGCACAGUUUCUUCCCUUCCAAUCAAAGUUUGAAACCAAGGAGAGCUGUGAUUUCAAUUUCCCUUGUUUGCUAGUAAACUUUGUCUUCCUUGAGGGUGAACUUGUGCACGUUGUUGCGGUUGGAACAAGAAAGUGUUGAGGAGUUAAGCAUUUGAGAUUGAGCGGCGAUGGACGUGGAGGAUGUUGAGCAGAGUUCAUGGAUCGUUU